AUGAUGGGCUUCGUUUGCCUUUUCUUUGUUCUUUCUUUGACAAUAUCCACCGUUGGGGGAUUAAGUUGCUACUCGUGUACGGCCAAACCUUCCAAGGAAUGCAUUGAGACAGUUGAUUGUGCAAGCGACAUGUAUCGCUGUUUCAGCAUGAAAACAGGUGAUAUUGCCACAAAGGGGUGUUUUCCGAGUGCUGCGUGCCUCGAAGGAGCGACCGAAGAUUGCUGCAUUGGCAAUUUGUGUAACAAUGCAAAGAACAUCGGAUCAAGUUUCAUCCUCCUGCUGUUGUCUACCGCUGCACUGUAUUUCCUCUGAUCAAUGGGUUUGCGUGCACUCUAGAAACCUGGGGCCAGAUUUACAAAGGAGUCUCAAAGUAAUGAAAUCCUGUGCAUUAUCUGGAGAAUAUGCUAUAUACUAGAAUAUUCAUACAGAAGGUUCUUUACUGCAAUUCCUCAAUAACUUCCUCUUCCUCUCAUUACACUUAAGAAAUGUUUUUCAAGUCUUUCCAACUUUUAUAAUUUGGGCAUCUGUGAAGAUGCGUGUAAAUCAAUAGCUUGUAAUCUCUAAAGUGAAAAGGUAAAAUCCUAACAAUUGAUAAACUAAUUUGUAGUUAAGCAUAGCGUUUAGCAGCUUAGACCUAUGUCUUUUUCUUUAUUAUAAUAUCAAUACAAUUCGUAGAGUUGUCCUUUGUGUAAUUUUAAAAUGUUCAGAUUAACUUGCCACUAUCAUUCAACACUUCUAAAUAUUUUAAACUGUUUAAGAUAUUCUACUAUAUUAUAUUAAGAUAUUCUACUAUAAAUAUUUUCUUUUACAAAGGAAGUCAAAGGCCCAUUGACUCCCAGUAGCUGACACUUCAACUACUUCAGACUUUGUAACUUCAUUUUUUAACUGUUAACCUUCAUUAAAACAUCUAACAAACACACUUGUAUCUUCAAUCAUAAAGUCUUUCUCUAUCACUUUGCUUUUUUCAGUAUCAGUUUAAUUUCUUACCUGCCUCAUACCCAUCGUUUUUUAUGACUUUACACACUCCAGCUUGGAGUGUGUGCAGUCCAUUAGCAUUUUAAUAGUGAAUAAAGUAUUGGUGAGUUAAAGGUUGGGUAUGGAAUUCGCUUUUUUGGCCAUUUUUGCAAAUUACUUGAAAUCCUUAUCUUAACCCACUUACAGCCACUGAGUUAGAAGUACUGACAUGAAAAUUAAACAAGUCAAUCAUCUGUGGAACGGGCAGGGCUCGAAAAACUCCAGCCAAUGAUUUCCAGAGCCACCGAGUUGCAUUGGACAGUAAGUACGUCAAUCAAACGGUCGCACUGCAAUCCCACUCCCCGCGCGACCCCUUCGUGCACGUACUCAAAGCUCGUGACCCAGAGCAAGCUUCUGUUUGUUGUUAUCCUGCGGUAGCUACUGGAGCUAGCUAACUAGCUAAUGGCUCGCUCUCGCGCAUCUGUGUUUCGCUCGUGCAUGAUUGCGCGUCCAUGUACUUGGAAUGGGUGGAGUCAGAGUCAGCGUUGAAGGAGAGGGGGUAGGACCAUUUGAGUUGUUUAUUUUCAAAAUCUGCUGCCGUUUCGCAAAUCCUAUACCCAACCUUUAACUCAUGAUAGAUACUCAUGAUUUGGGAAUUGUAAUCAGGCAGUCACUUACUGCAAGUGUUAUUCAAAUUAAGAAACCAAAAAACAAGAAAAAAAAAAGAAUGUGCAUUAACGCAUACAUUUUUAUCAAAUUAAACUAAGAUUGCGUUACCGCGUUAUUAUCUAUCAAUCUAUUAUCCUAAUUGUUAUAGAUCAGCCGUUUGUGUGCUGGAACCCCCAUUUAUAUGGUUAGAGACUAAGUGCUUGCUACGUAUCCGGUUUACUCCCGGUAGAAGCUAAAUGCUGGAAAUCUAUCUUUUGAACAGGAACAGGAAUUAUUUGUAUUUCUUUAGUCUGCAGUUCACAGAUAAUCAAUAUAAGUGACCAGUGGGAUAAUUAUCAAACCAAAAGACAUAAAAACAUUGCCUCAGCAUAACAAACACUGUAUUUUGGUUUAUUAAUCAGCUACUUGACAUGUAGCCUUGGGGCUAAGUUUGUGCUAGUGGGGGGUCAGGUUGGGUAUCUGGGCCCUGGGCUCCAGUGAUGUUCAUGAAGGGGGGGUGUACCCGUCAGGGAGUUGAUUGGGCGUCGCCAGCCGCUCGAUGCGAGGGGAGGCUUUAGCCCUCUGUGCUGCCAUGGAAGCCUGGUAGACAACACCAUUCAUUAUACAUAAUACUACAGUAUAUACACAAUACUACAGUAUAUCAAGAUAAUACUGAAGCAUUAUGCAAAGGACUACAGUAUCGAAAGAUAAUACUACAGUACAGCAAUUACACAUAAUACUACAGUAUACCCGGAAAUGUUAAAGAAAUAAUGAUACAUACAUACAGAUAAUCCAGUAAAUUCACAUAGUGCUACAAUAAUUACACACAAGACUACAGUAUAUAUAGUUCAGAACAGACACAUAAUACUAAAAGUAUAACAGAUAAUGCUCUGAGUUGUAUAAUAAAUUAUACUUAUUAAUUUACUGUUAUUACUAAUUAUUCUUGUGACUGUAAGUGAGUAGGUUAUAUAGCCCCUUUAACGCAAAAAAAGUUGCAUAACAUUUAAAAGUGCUUAACAGAAACGCUCCAUAACAACAAAAAGUAUGUUAAAAAAAAAGUAUAGGCCUAUACAUUAAACCAUAACAUAAAAUGAUUAAAAUCAUCAGCCAAAAAUCCUACAGAGCUCUCCCCAAAAAAUGACAUUACAGGUUCUGGGUAAUGAAUGACUGAAUAGAGAUAAGUAACAUUCAAACCAAGUCUCUUGCAGUCCGGAUGGGCUCCUCGGGUGGGCUUGGCUGGUAGCAGACCUGGCUGAGGCUCAGCCUGGGCAGAGACAGGUGCUCCAGUCUGGGGGACUUGGACUGUGCUCUGGAGGUCUCAGAGAUCCCCUUCUCCAAGACCUGGUGGACAAGGGUCCACCAGCCCCUCAAUGCUUUAUGCAUUGAGGGCCAUCAAUGCAAAACAGUUUGUUUGGAGAAUAAAAUAUGGGGUGGAAAGGAGAAAAUUAAAUUGUCACCCUAAAAACAAAUAUUUGAAACCUUUAAAAAACUUUCAACUGAGAUAUAAUUAAGUGCUCCCUUUCUUCACUCACUCCUUACUUUGUCCAAUAACUAGUUGAUUGUAAUCUAACUGUGAUCUAAUUUACAGGUGGUUUUAUGUAACCCUAUCUGUCUACUAGGGUCCAAACCUGUGUACUUGGGCCCUUACCUGUGCUCUAUGGCCACUACUUGUGUUAGAGAGCCCUGCCUGUGUUAUAGGGGCCUACCUGUGUCCUAGGGCCCCUGCCAGUCUGCUAGGGCCCCUACUUGUGUUCUACGGCAUGUAUUUCAGUGCCCCUACCUGUGGUCUAGGUGCUUACCUGUGCGUUCGGGGCCCCCACCUGCCUCUUGUUCUGGAAGUGAGGGUGGGUGGUCUUGGGCCUGGAGAGUUCCAGGAGAUGAUGGGAGAGUUUGGGUUUUUUGAUCCGGAGGUCCACGUGCCACACGAGACAGGUGGGCUCACAUUCCGGGGCAGGCCCGAGGCUCCCUAUACGCAGAGUACGCAGAGUGCGUAGGGCACCAAGUACCUGAGGGGGGCACCAAAAAUUUAGUUUUGUAAAAAAUAAUAAUAAUACAAAAAAAAAAAAGUAAAUUAGUUAUGAAGAUGCCCACCGUUGUUUGUUCUUAAUUGUAUAACCUAUCACUAGGUGUUAGGUUAUACUAAUAUAGAAAACAUUUAAAGCGUCUCUGGAUUCUGAUCCAGGGCUUGACACGGUGCCUAUAUGUUUUUACCUAAUAUAGAAAAAGGGGCUCUCCUCUCCUCUUCCCCCACAAUUUUAUUUAUACCUUAAACCAAUUGGACAGACGUAUUAUUCUAUCUUUUGCAGCACAACAAGCAGUACGAUUCUCGUCUCUGUGGGAUUUUAGUGUAAAAUAAACAUGUUUGUUCUAAUUGUAUAAGCAUUUAUCAGUAGCUGAAAUACUGUUGCCAUCAAAACGUCAAUUUUGCAGUUUUCAGAUUUGUAUUUCAGGUAUGGGUACAUAAGUGAUGUCCAGACAUCUCCACAUGCUGUUCGGCAGGCACGGUUGCAUUUAGCUACUGCCCUGCUUCAGGGUAAAGGUCAGUGCCAUCAAAAUAGUUUGUGAGUCAAAAUCCAUGCAAAUUCCAGGACCUCAGUCACGUUAGGUGAUCAGUUUGUGUGGGAUUUGUACUAUUAAGCAACUAUUUACCACGCUUUUAUUUUUGUAAAGUUAUUUAAGCAUUCUUACAGAAAAUAUCUAAUGGUUUUAGUGUCCAUACAGCAUAAACAAUUGGGAGUUAUUUGCUACACAUGAAGUAUACGAUAUGUGUGUGUGUGAAUACUUUUGUAAAAUUGAAUGACUGGAGAUGCCUUAGUUUAAAACCAUUGUUUCAGGAAUGCAGAGGACCACUGUGUGGUGUGCUCAUUGACUGAAUAAGAUGCAGAUGAAAGCAUGAUUGAUGAUGAGAAAUGGUACAUAACAUUAAAUGUGUUUUGUAUUAUUAAUUCACUCAAAAAUGUGUGCAUAACCCUACAAUGUAUUUCAUUGUAGGUUUUAGGUGCGGUUGGAAUUGUGCAUAGGUGGGAAAAUUUUGAGCGCUCUAUAUUUCUGCACAAAAUGUCCCAAAAGGAAAUAAAGAUUUAAGAAAUGUAGUUGUUAUUAUUUUAUCUCUUGAAUAAUUAUUAUCUAUUGCAUAUAGCCUAUGUAUACACACAUCCAUACAGAAUCCCUGCUGGUAUCUCCGCCUGCAGGUUGCAUCCCG
ensembl:lncRNA